rnacentral:lncRNA from 1 species
UGAUAAUUCACCUGUUCCUCUGCUACUAAUUGAGCUGCUCUCUGUUUCCAUGGCUGGCUCAUGGGAUGAGAGAAUAUAUCUAGUUUUUUAUGUUUCAAUUUGUCUCUCUAUGGCAUUUUUGUGAAAAUAAGGAAGUGUGGAGACUUAUAUAUGUUUCUAAAUUAUAAUAGUUCAUUAAUGUAAAGUACAGACACAGUCUUCACUUUUCCUUCUUAGACCGUUUAAAUAUGGCCACGAAACAAGUAGUCUCUGGUUGGCUGGGCACUGUGGCUCAUGUCCUUAACACCAACACUUUGGGAGGCCGAGGCAGGCAAAUCACUUGAGAUCAGGAGUUCGAGACCAGCCUGGCCAAUGUGGCAAAACCCCAUCUCUUCUAAAAAUACAAAAAUUAGUUGAGUGCGGUGGUGCACACCGGUAAUCCCAGUUACUCGAGAAGCUGAGGCAGGAGAAUCACUUGAACCUGGAAGGCAGAGGUUGCAGUGAGCCAAGACCGCACCACUACACUCCAGCCUGGGCAAUAGAGCAAGACUCCAUCUCAAAAAAAAAAAAAAGAAAAAGAAAAAAGAAAAUAGUCUCUGGUUAAAUAACCUCUGAAAGACUCCACCAAAAAUUUCAUCUUAGCAUUUCUCCCCAAACUUCAGGUAAAAUAAAAUAGAGUUGAGAGAAAAAUAGAAAGGCAAGGGAGUACCUGUUCACUAUUUUUAUUAAACCAGUGUUCUACUUUAUUUUAGGUGUAUCUUUUCUUAUUUAAAUGUCAGCUAAACUUUCUUUUUAAGAUAUUGAAUGAAAGAUGCCCGUCCUUCAGGUUUCGUUUAAGCAAGAAUCCCCAUUCUCAAAUAAUAUAAUAUAAACUUUCCAAAUUCUUAAGUAGAUCAUCUGAGAUUGAAAGCUAAGUUUAACUUUCUCAAAGAUAUUUUAGCCGCCAUGACACCUAGACAAAGUGGUAUAUUAAAUUCUGAUUAAUUUGGUCCUAAAGCACCUAAGAAUCAUUCUUACUUUCUUAUCCACAGCGGUUAUUAAGUUUUCACAUUAAAAAAAAUCCAACAGUGAAUAAUACUGCAUUGGGGUUACUGUAAUUGUUAAGUAAAAUAAGAAAUACAAAUCUUUAGUUAGAUCACAUGGCACCUGACUACUGCUUAGAAAAUGGUAAGACUUACUACAUAAAUCAUGAGUCACUAUUGACAUCUACUAUAUCAUAUCAUAGGUUAGGUAUCUAAUUAUAAAUAGUCAAAUCAGCUGACUCAAGGUGGCAUAGCUCAAGCAGAGGAAGAUAAUACAAGUUGAGUAUGGAUUUAACACUCUAAACCUGUCAGCACUGUAGGAAAAGUAACUUAAAACUGCACACCCCACUUAUGCAUAAUCAUCAGAUAUAAAGAGGGUACAUUCCUGUAAUUUAUUGUUGCUCUAGUGAUCUUAAAGAAUUAAGUCCACAUUCAUAAAGUCCAAACUUGUCUCCAAGGAUUUGCUUUGACUUUGGGAGUAUCUGGAUCAUUAAGUAAUUUCCGGAGGUCAGAGUAAAAGCUUUUUAUCUCUAAAUAUUACUUCCCUGGAAUAUUAGAUGUAGCAGAAGUCAGUAACGGAGUGACCUUUCUCUUAAACAAUUCAUAGAUUCACUGAAAUUUUCUUCAACUUUAGGAAAAUUAAAUAUAUUCCACAGUGCUGUAAGUCUUAAAUAUUGAUUUUCCUCUGAAAUCUUGACUCAUCCUACCCACCAACAUUCUCCCUUUGUACACUAUGUUCUUUGUAAUGUUCAUGUUACACAAGUGAAAAUUAGUAACAUUAGUAAAUUUUCAUUGCAGGUUUAUUUGUUCAUAUUUCUGGAUAUAUAAUCCAUUACUGUUAAACUUCAUAUCAAUGUUCCGAUAUUUCUUCAUCUUAUGUUUUAUGUUACAAAACAGGUUAUUUCACUAUAUGUAUGUUUAAUUGAUUAAUUCUUCCCUUUUUUUGGAAAUGAAACAGCACUCUCAAUUAUUGGGACAGAAAAGUUAUUUCAUAGGGAAUACUUCAAACACUGAUAUCUACAACAGGCAGUAAGAUUCGUCACAACAAUUGGUAUACUGUCAAUAUACCAUACAAAGUUCCAUCUGGUCUUGAUUAAAAAUUAUUUUAGUUUUCUCAGGAAAAUGAUACAGAGGGAGAAUUGCCUAGAUUAUAUGAGAGAAAAAAAAGUAGAGAGAAACAUAAUGUUUUCUUAGAUUAUUACAGCAGUGAACUAUUUCCACCUGGUAAGAAGGGUGCACUUGAGAAUGGGGUUCAAGUACUCUAGGAACAUAGAUGUAAGUUCUGGAUGCACAGUAGUUGUUGCUUAGCUGUAAGCUGGAAAUUUCAAGGCAGAAACAGCAGAUACCACAACUAUAACUGGGUCUCCUUGUUUUUUGUUUUAUGUGUAUACGUGAGAUUAUGGGGAAAGACAAAAGUAAUGCAUAGAGAUUUAUUUUUUAACAUUCAAUUCAUAAGCAGUGUUUAUACCUCUUUGUACUUACUUGAAAAGUGUAUAUUAUGUAAAUUUAGUAUAAAAACACUUGGACUAAUUCAUACCAUGUGGUAAAAUUUCACAUUCAAAAGAAAUACCCUUCUGUUAUUAAAAAUAAAAAAAAAAAGGAGCCAGGAGGGUGGCUCAUGACUGUAAUCCCAGUGCUCUGGGAAGCCAAGGUGGAGG